GACGAACGCUGGUGGAGUGCCUUAUACAUGCAAGUCGAGCGGGAUCUUAUAGCUUGCUAUAAGUGAGAGCGGCGAACGGGUGAGUAACGCGUGAGAAACUUGCCCCCUCAGUUGGGGAUAGCCCUCCUAACGGAGGAUUAAUACCGAAUAUUGUUGUUUGUUUCGUGAUUUACAACGAAAGGCUUCGGUCGCUGGGGGAUAGUCUCGCGUAAGAUUAGCUUGUUGGUGAGGUAACGGCUCACCAAGGCGACGAUCUUUAGCCGGCCUGAGAGGGUGAUCGGCCACAUUGGGACUGAGAUACGGCCCAGACUCCUACGGGAGGCAGCAGUAGGGAAUAUUGCACAAUGGGGGAAACCCUGAUGCAGCAACUCCACGUGUGGGAUGACGCAUUUAGGUGUGUAAACCACUGUCGGAUGGGAAUAAAACGGCUUUUGCCGGAAGAACGUACCAUCAAAGGAAGCACCGGCUAACUUCGUG
rnacentral:rRNA from 1 species